UCCGAUCCAACCCAACCAAUAUACACUCCUAUAUAUUAGGGUUGAAUUCCAAUUGAUUCUCCCAAAUGGCAAAUUUGCCUAAGAUAUUUCCUCUAAUUAUCAUACUCGUUACUCUUUUAGCAUUUUCUGCUUCCUUCAUAAAAGCUCAAACAAAUGAGUAUUCACUUCAGAAAUCAACAUGCAUAAAACAUGCAUGUAUCAAGAAUUUGCUGAAUCAUCUAAGAUUAAGUUCAUCUCUUCCUCGUAGUUUUCAUCGAAAAGCCAGAGUAAGAUUGGAAGAUAUAGAUCCAAGACAUUCCAGUUCCUUCCAACGUUAUAAUUAUGGUGAAAUUACAAGACUUGUUCCAGGAGGUCCUAAUCCACUUCAUAACCUUUAAUAAAAUCUUGUAAGCCAAUUCUAUUUGGAUUUGGACUAUUUUGUGUGUAAUUUUCUUGUUGUUCCCAUGGCAUUCAUAAUUGUAAUGUGCUUCUUAUUUUCUUUUUUGUGUACACCUUGUCUUAGAAUUGAAUUUUUAAUUGUUAAAAUUUUAGCUCUUAAAAAGAAGAGUUUUACUUUCCAAAAA